CUGCGGAGGGAUCAUUACACAACAAAAUAUGAAGGCCUGGCUUCGCGGCCGGCUGAAAUAUUUUUUUCACCCAUGUCUUUUGCGCACUUGUUGUUUCCUGGGCGGGUUCGCCCGCCACCAGGACCAAACCAUAAACCUUUUUUUUAUGCAGUUGCAAUCAGCGUCAGUAAAAACAAUGUAAUUAUUACAACUUUCAACAACGGAUCUCUUGGUUCUGGCAUCGAUGAAGAACGCAGCGAAAUGCGAUACGUAGUGUGAAUUGCAGAAUUCAGUGAAUCAUCGAAUCUUUGAACGCACAUUGCGCCCUUUGGUAUUCCAAAGGGCAUGCCUGUUCGAGCGUCAUUUGUACCUUCAAGCUUUGCUUGGUGUUGGGCGUUUUUUGUCUCCCUCUUUCUGGGAGACUCGCCUUAAAACGAUUGGCAGCCGGCCUACUGGUUUCGGAGCGCAGCACAUAUUUUGCGCUUUGUAUCAGGAGAAAAGGACGGUAAUCCAUCAAGACUCUACAUUUUUAACUUUUGACCUCGGAUCAGGUAGGGAUACCCGCUGAACUUAAGCAUAUC
rnacentral:rRNA from 1 species